UUUCAGAAAUAUGUGUUCAACAGAUUAUCUUAUACGACCAGUCAGAGGUCUACAUUACCAAGAUGAAGGGAUCGAAGCCGGAUAACAAAUGAUUUCAUUUUUUUCCCACAACUGAAAGAUUGUAAAAACAAUCUGAAAAUUUGAAAUCUAGAAGAAUUGAUCUUUCAAAAAUCCCUCAGAGCAGUGGUUCCCAAACUCGCUUUGGGCUACGA